GGAACGAGGCAAGAUGUCUUCCACAGAACAGGGACCCUUUGAAGACUCUGGCUCAGGUUGAAGACAUGUUGAAGGACUCCACACUUAUACAGUAGUUAAUUGCACAGCAUCACCUGUAAAGCAAAUACUACUGGAGCUGGUGGGGGUUAAUUGUUUUUUCAAGGUCACACAGCAGUAUUAUAGCACCCACAGCAGUGACAUCAGGUUGUAGGUCCAAUUCAUGGACUUAACACAAUUUUUAAUUUGCUGCUUUCGUCAGCCAUCCAAAUGCCAGUACAUACCUACACUCCCUGAGCUGCCACUCCAAGACAUCAAACCUGUGACCUUUGUGUAACUGGUCUGUAAGUUUGAGGGUGUGUCCGUGUGCUCAUGAACAAUGGCUAUUCAAACUUAGCAGACAGCAUAACGUCAGCAGUAUGUCGCUGAAUGAAACAUUUGGAGCGUGAAUGUCUAAGAAUAGGCAUAUCCUGGUAAGAUCUUGUGUCUGGUAUUUGGGAUUCAGCAUGUGCACUUUAAUAUCCCCAUGUCAUUCAGGUUUAGCUAUAUCUGCUAUUUGAGGAUUAACACCUCCUGACAACAGCAAACAUUGUGUUUCCUCAUCUUUAGCAGAUCACACACGGAAUACUAAUAUGCUUUGUUCCAGUAGGAACUAGAGAAUCUAGAGAAUGGAUUCUGUGAGGAGAAGAUGUGAUGUCCCACUGGCUUAGCCAUAUCUCUUUACACUUGUUCCUGUCACCUCCCAGAAUUUCUGACUGCAAAAGAAAACUAAUUUUCAUCCUUUUCAGGGGAGGGCCUUGGAUCACAUGACUUAAGCAGUUAAAAAUACUAUUUAGUAUGCUUUUCCACCAAAUAAAUAAUGGAAAAAUAAUUAAAUAAUAAUAUUGUAUAUCACUAGUUGAAGGCUUUGUGUGCUGAGAGUGAUAUCUGCCAUGAGUCAGUAGCUUGAGGGAGUUGAGAGAUCUUUUUCUUUUUAAAAGCAGUGAAUGUUACCUUUGUGCUGCUUCUGUGACUCAAAAGGACAGAUAGCUUUGUUGGCCUCUGGAUGGGUUUGUUAGAUAUAGCCAGAAUAAAAUCGUGUUUUCUCUCUGUCUCUCCAGCACUUAAUAUUGGCGUUUGUCAGGGAAUAUUAGAGUGGCUGAACACACAGGGUCAUAGCUGACAGAGAAUGUGCCUCUGUCUUCUUGUCUCUGUACUGGUUGCCAAAAGAGGCUCUGGACAAUGUGUCUGAACAAACUGUCUGCUCUAUUCUGUUCACAGGCGAGAGCCCAGCAAAAAUAAAUGAAAGAGGUCAGAAAAAUAACCUUCAAAAUCACCCUACACACCUGUUCUGCUGCACUUCUCCAGCUCACCUGUUUUCCAUCCACCAGUCAAGACCCUGCAGUGUAUCUACUCGGCUCUUUACUCCAGUCUUUACCCGAUCAUCCGUUUGCCUCCGUGGUUCACUGCUCGAUUCAGCUCCUGGAUCCUCAUUACCUCGCCUGUUUCUACAAAAGAUUUUCCACUCCGGGACCUGCUCUAGCCAGCUGUCUCUGCUCUACCUACCUGCUCCGCCGGACUCACAGCCAGUCCAGCUUCUUCGUUCUUCGGAUAGGUCCAUCUCGCCCGGUUAAUCCAUUCCUCCUGGUUGUUAAAUAAACUGAGGUCUUUCCACUA